CAUGCGACUUCACAAAAGACACCAUCUAUUAGUGUGGAGCUGUUACAUGUUUCAUUGGUAAAAGAUACUACCAUAGAGUACUGUAUAUCAUGGUAAUCAAGACACUCCAGCUCAUGUAGAAAGUGACACCAAUAGUAUGAGUAAAUUGCUAAAAAAAAAAAAACCACAAUUGUGCAAAAGUUAUCAAAUACCCAUCAAAAUGCAUGUUUUCUGAUGGKUUUUUUUUUGAAGCAUCUAUAACUUCGAUCUAAUUGUGAUGGUUUUUUACAAUUUACUCUCAUAAAAAUACUUAACGUUUCCUAUACAUACCCN
rnacentral:lncRNA from 1 species